CCGUUUUGCCUCCGCUUCGGUCUCGUGGCUUGUGGAGUCUUCUAGAUGUAAGAUAAUUGCGCGGCACGUUAAUAUCUCUAUGUAAUCCCGACGUGUGGGCCUUUCUUCCGUAUUUCCUGAUAACACCCUGUAGAAAUAGACAAACACCAAAACUCAUGGAAUUCUGUCAGAUAAAACCCUAAGUCUAGAUGUUGAUUUCAUUUGGAUCCUUUUCUUUAUUUAUUUGAUAAUUAAUUUUG
rnacentral:lncRNA from 1 species